GAUUCCUGGCUCAGGAUGAACGCUAGCUACAGGCUUAACACAUGCAAGUCGAGGGGCAGCGGGAUUGAAGCUUGCUUCAAUUGCCGGCGACCGGCGCACGGGUGAGUAACGCGUAUCCAACCUUCAGUACACUCAGGGAUAGCCUUUCGAAAGAAAGAUUAAUACCUGAUGGUAUCUUAAGCACACAUGUAAUUAAGAUUAAAGAUUUAUCGGUGUACGAUGGGGAUGCGUUCCAUUAGGUAG
rnacentral:rRNA from 1 species